rnacentral:rRNA from 1 species
UACGGGAGGCAGCAGUGGGGAAUUUUGGACAAUGGGCGCAAGCCUGAUCCAGCAAUGCCGCGUGCAGGAUGAAGGCCUUCGGGUUGUAAACUGCUUUUGUACGGAACGAAAAAGCUCUGGUUAAUACCUGGGGCUCAUGACGGUACCGUAAGAAUAAGCACCGGCUAACUACGUGCCAGCAGCCGCGGUAAUACGUAGGGUGCGAGCGUUAAUCGGAAUUACUGGGCGUAAAGCGUGCGCAGGCGGUGAUGUAAGACAGUUGUGAAAUCCCCGGGCUCAACCUGGGAACUGCAUCUGUGACUGCAUCGCUGGAGUGCGGCAGAGGGGGAUGGAAUUCCGCGUGUAGCAGUGAAAUGCGUAGAUAUGCGGAGGAACACCGAUGGCGAAGGCAAUCCCCUGGGCCUGCACUGACGCUCAUGCACGAAAGCGUGGGGAGCAAACAGGAUUAGAUACCCUGGUAGUCCACGCCCUAAACGAUGUCAACUGGUUGUUGGGAAUUUGCUUUCUCAGUAACGAAGCUAACGCGUGAAGU